rnacentral:rRNA from 1 species
GACGAACGCUGGCGGCGUGCUUAACACAUGCAAGUCGAACGGAAAGGCCCUGCUUUUGUGGGGUGCUCGAGUGGCGAACGGGUGAGUAACACGUGAGUAACCUGCCCUUUACUUUGGGAUAACUUCAGGAAACUGGGGCUAAUACCGGAUAGGAGCUCCUGCUGCAUGGUGGGGGUUGGAAAGUUUCGGCGGUUGGGGAUGGACUCGCGGCUUAUCAGCUUGUUGGUGGGGUAGUGGCUUACCAAGGCUUUGACGGGUAGCCGGCCUGAGAGGGUGACCGGCCACAUUGGGACUGAGAUACGGCCCAGACUCAUACGGGAGGCAGCAGUGGGGAAUAGUGCACAAUGGGCGGAAGCCUGAUGCAGCAACGCCGCGUGCGGGAUGACGGCCUUCGGGUUGUAAACCGCUUGCGACUGUGACGAAGAGUGAGUGACGGUAAUGGGUAAAGAAGCACCGGCUAACUACGUG